GCCGAGACACCUUCAGGAGGCAAAGCCGAGGAGGGCAAAGCCUCCCCCAGCUCUCCCCUCUCCGCUUCGGGGAGGCCCCGGCUCCCCUGCCUGCUCCAGUCAAAGGGCCGCUCGGCUGCUGCCGUCCCUUGGGGGCAGGUGGGUGCCUGCACCCCCGCGGCGAACGAUCGUCGAGAGGCAGCCGCGGUAAAGAGCCUCUGAGAGGCGGGCACCUACCUCUGGCCCGAUCUCGGAGCAGAGCUGGCAUGGAAAUGUCAAGAGGCCAGGGUUUUCAUCACUUCAGCCAUUGCCAUCAUCUUCCGUCUCAACAAAUAACCUCAGGCCAGCAGCAUCACUGUAGAAUUCACUAAACAUCAGGAGCAGCUCUGCCACCUGCAUUUCAAAACUUAGACUGCUUCUUGCCUGACCUCACCUAUGACUCUACUUUUGCUCAGAAGAAUACAUCAUCAUUUCAGUCAGUGCAAACUCCAAGCCAUUUACUGGAGAAGGGA